rnacentral:rRNA from 1 species
UUAAGCGACUAAGCGUACACGGUGGAUGCCUAGGCAGUCAGAGGCGAUGAAGGGCGUGCUAAUCUGCGAAAAGCGUCGGUAAGGUGAUAUGAACCGUUAUAACCGACGAUACCCGAAUGGGGAAACCCAGUGCAAUUCGUUGCACUAUUGCAUGGUGAAUACAUAGCCAUGCAAGGCGAACCGGGGGAACUGAAACAUCUAAGUACCCCGAGGAAAAGAAAUCAACCGAGAUUCCCCCAGUAGCGGCGAGCGAACGGGGAGGAGCCCAGAACCUGAAUCAGCGUAUGUGUUAGUGGAAGCGUCUGGAAAGUCGCACGGUACAGGGUGAUAGUCCCGUACACAAAAAUGCAUAUGUUGUGAGUUCGAUGAGUAGGGCGGGACACGUGACAUCCUGUCUGAAUAUGGGGGGACCAUCCUCCAAGGCUAAAUACUCCUGACUGACCGAUAGUGAACCAGUACCGUGAGGGAAAGGCGAAAAGAACCCCGGCGAGGGGAGUGAAAUAGAACCUGAAACCGUGUACGUACAAGCAGUGGGAGCACCUUCGUGGUGUGACUGCGUACCUUUUGUAUAAUGGGUCAGCGACUUAUAUUUUGUAGCAAGGUUAACCGAAUAGGGGAGCCGUAGGGAAACCGAGUCUUAACUGGGCGAAUAGUUGCAAGGUAUAGACCCGAAACCCGGUGAUCUAGCCAUGGGCAGGUUGAAGGUUGGGUAACACUAACUGGAGGACCGAACCGACUAAUGUUGAAAAAUUAGCGGAUGACUUGUGGCUGGGGGUGAAAGGCCAAUCAAACCGGGAGAUAGCUGGUUCUCCCCGAAAGCUAUUUAGGUAGCGCCUCGUGAACUCAUCUUCGGGGGUAGAGCACUGUUUCGGCUAGGGGGUCAUCCCGACUUACCAAACCGAUGCAAACUCCGAAUACCGAAGAAUGUUAUCACGGGAGACACACGGCGGGUGCUAACGUCCGUCGUGAAGAGGGAAACAACCCAGACCGCCAGCUAAGGUCCCAAAGUCAUGGUUAAGUGGGAAACGAUGUGGGAAGGCAUAGACAGCCAGGAUGUUGGCUUAGAAGCAGCCAUCAUUUAAAGAAAGCGUAAUAGCUCACUGGUCGAGUCGGCCUGCGCGGAAGAUGUAACGGGGCUAAACCAUGCACCGAAGCUGCGGCAGCGACGCUUAGGCGUUGUUGGGUAGGGGAGCGUUCUGUAAGCCGUUGAAGGUGACCUGUGAGGGUUGCUGGAGGUAUCAGAAGUGCGAAUGCUGACAUAAGUAACGAUAAUGCGGGUGAAAAACCCGCACGCCGGAAGACCAAGGGUUCCUGUCCAACGUUAAUCGGGGCAGGGUGAGUCGACCCCUAAGGCGAGGCUGAAAAGCGUAGUCGAUGGGAAACAGGUUAAUAUUCCUGUACUUGGUGUUACUGCGAAGGGGGGACGGAGAAGGCUAGGCUAGCCGGGCGACGGUUGUCCCGGUUUAAGCAUGUAGGCGGAGUGACUUGGUAAAUCCGGUUGCUUAUCAACGCUGAGGUGUGAUGACGAGUCACUACGGUGAUGAAGUAGUUGAUGCCAAGCUUCCAGGAAAAGCCUCUAAGCAUCAGGUAACAUUAAAUCGUACCCCAAACCGACACAGGUGGUCAGGUAGAGAAUACUCAGGCGCUUGAGAGAACUCGGGUGAAGGAACUAGGCAAAAUGGUGCCGUAACUUCGGGAGAAGGCACGCUGGCAUUAGGUAAAGAGACUUGCUCUCGGCGCCGAAGCCAGUCGCAGAUACCAGCUGGCUGCAACUGUUUAAUAAAAACACAGCACUGUGCAAACACGAAAGUGGACGUAUACGGUGUGACGCCUGCCCGGUGCUGGAAGGUUAAUUGAUGGGGUCAGCCGCAAGGCGAAGCUCUUGAUCGAAGCCCCAGUAAACGGCGGCCGUAACUAUAACGGUCCUAAGGUAGCGAAAUUCCUUGUCGGGUAAGUUCCGACCUGCACGAAUGGCGUAAUGAUGGCCAGGCUGUCUCCACCCGAGACUCAGUGAAAUUGAACUCGCUGUGAAGAUGCAGUGUACCCGCGGCAAGACGGAAAGACCCCGUGAACCUUUACUAUAGCUUGACACUGAACAUUGAGCCUUGAUGUGUAGGAUAGGUGGGAGGCAUUGAAGUGUGGACGCCAGUCUGCAUGGAGCCAACCUUGAAAUACCACCCUUUAAUGUUUGAUGUUCUAACUCGGCCCCAUAAUCUGGGGUGAGGACAGUGUCUGGUGGGUAGUUUGACUGGGGCGGUCUCCUCCCAAAGAGUAACGGAGGAGCACGAAGGUUAGCUAAUCACGGUCGGACAUCGUGAGGUUAGUGCAAAGGCAUAAGCUAGCUUGACUGCGAGAGUGACGGCUCGAGCAGGUACGAAAGUAGGUCUUAGUGAUCCGGUGGUUCUGAAUGGAAGGGCCAUCGCUCAACGGAUAAAAGGUACUCCGGGGAUAACAGGCUGAUACCGCCCAAGAGUUCAUAUCGACGGCGGUGUUUGGCACCUCGAUGUCGGCUCAUCACAUCCUGGGGCUGAAGUAGGUCCCAAGGGUAUGGCUGUUCGCCAUUUAAAGUGGUACGCGAGCUGGGUUUAGAACGUCGUGAGACAGUUCGGUCCCUAUCUGCCGUGGGCGUUGGAAGAUUGAGAGGGGCUGCUCCUAGUACGAGAGGACCGGAGUGGACGAAUCACUGGUGUUCGGGUUGUCAUGCCAAUGGCAUUGCCCGGUAGCUAAAUUCGGAAGAGAUAACCGCUGAAAGCAUCUAAGCGGGAAACUUGCCUCGAGAUGAGUCUUCCCUGGGGCUUUAAGCCCCCUGAAGGAACGUUAAAGACUAUGACGUUGAUAGGCUGGGUGUGUAAGUGCAGCGAUGCAUUGAGCUAACCAGUACUAAUGAUCCGUGAGGCUUAACCUU